GGCCUGGUGGUGCAAUGGUAACACACCUACUUCGUGUAAGUAGAUUACUUGUGUUUAGUAGGGGAUCCUUGUUCGAUUCAAGGUCGGCCA